rnacentral:lncRNA from 1 species
CUCAAACAAUCGAUUGUUUGGAGUAGAUAAUCGAUUGUUUGACCAACGUUCAAAAGACAGAUUCCUGAUUUUUGGCUAAACAGUCGAUUGUAUGGACUAAAUAAUCGAUUGUUAUUCAACGUUCAAAAAUCAAUUUAGGAUUCUGUGGGAACGGUCAAAAUAUAUAUUGAUUCUGUGGGAACGGUCAAAAUAUAAUCGAUUGUAUGAAUAUGACAAUCGAUUGUUUAUGAAUAUAAUCGAUUGUAUGACAAAAACAAUCGAUUGUUUAGAUGUUUAAAAACUUCGGUUGCACACUGUCUCAAAAUAAUC